UGUUGUAAAUCCUGUCAGCUGAGAGUAACUUAUACUCGGGUAGAUUACUAUGCUGGUCCUUUUCCUUCUGUUCUUCGUUUCAUUUUGUUGUGCCGUUUCUUUUUGGAAGUUUUUGUCCGUUUUUGUCAUUCUAGGUUGUUAUAUUCUUCGUUUUUGGCCCUUAAUUUGUAGAACAUCCUUUUGGUUAAUACCUUUUUUUGCUUCCUGUGAGUUCAUAGACACAGGAUAACCAGAAUGAUCACAUAAAUCAUAGCAGUGCAAUACAUCUUAAAUUCUUAAUGGACAGACUAUAAGAAGCCUUCUGAACAAUGACCAGUAUCCACGAGAUAAGAGAGUUUAAGUUCUCAAGCCUGAAAACAAUCAAAAGAAGAAUAAAGGACAGACGUCAAUAAUUGAAUUUGCCUAAACUUUAUACUUUCAUUAAGAGUGGAGAAUAUUAGAAGAACCCAAAUCAAGGUUGAGUUGCUUUCUUUUGAUUUGCAUCAAUAAUCCACCUCCUUGGUUCCGUCAAAAAAGAAUGGUCAGGUUACAUUCUAAGCAGGAAAUGAAAAGAAGGGUCUGGUAGAUUUUGUAAUAGCAGAGAAUAAACUACAACGAGGAGGAGGAAAGUGGAUAGUGCAAAGAUGAAUCUGAAGAGGCAAAAUUGAUUUUUAAAUUUUCUUCUUGAGAGGUAUAAAUGAUUUCAAGAAUGUAAGAAGUGGCAAGGUAAGCCCCAUCUGAAAACUUUUGAUAUCUGUACAUAAAUAUCUCUUUAAAUUUAUUUUGCCUGUCUUUGAUCAGGUGACAAGAAAAUGGUAAAGGUAUUGAACAAUGAACAUUGUCAUUGAAGGUAAUCAUUUUCAUAGACUGAAACUAUUUUCUUUAUAUCUUAAGCACUCUAUUCUACUGUCCCUUAGGCGUUGCUAAACUAUAACCUUACAAGUUGUUGAGGUUUGCCUGUUGGUGAAAAGGGAAGACUCAUUGUUCCACCAUAUUUGGGUUAUAUACAAGUCCUUGCUGAAAAUGCACAUCAUUUAGACUUCCUUGUUGUGAUUCCAACGCUCAAAAAGUUUCUGUGUUCAUGCCUUUUGUCGAUGCAGCUUUGGGAAAUAGGCUAGGCCUCCAGUACCGCCAGACUCAUGGCUCUAGUAUGACAUUGAAUUGGCUGAUAUAUGUGAAUGAUAAAGAUUACAUGCGGUUACUUCAGUCAAAUCAUUUUUGAGCUACAGCUGAAGUGAAGAAUUUCAAGGAUGAAAGCGAUGUUGCCAACCCUUGCAGAGCAAUGACAGAUAACGAAAGAGCAGCUUCCAAGCGGCAAAGAAGCAAAAGAGAUGAAGUUGAAGCGACAAGUAUUAUUCGCCGCAUAUCUCGUAGAAGUCAAGGAAUGCCACCAGAAUUGAGUGAUGGCCUCAGUGAUAAAAUUGACGCAAGGAAAUUAUCUAAAAAGUCUUCUACUUGUGAGGAGUUUUCGUGCGAUGGUAUGGUUAAAACAAUAAGAAGUUUGAGAAGAAAUGAUCCUAUUGGAUACAACACUUAUUGAUCGGCAAGUUGAUCUGGAAAGGUUAGAGUUGAACCCCAAUGGAAGAACAUGUUGAAUUUUGACAAGAUUAAUGUGAACUAGUGCGAACAUUUGAAGCCUCCUUUUAGGAAGAAAUUGGUAGAUGCAUUUUUCAUGCAUUUACAUUGCAUGUUCACACUUAAUAUGAUGUCAUGCAUGACAUUAUUAAGGCCAUUUCUCUUCUAUAAAUAGCAAGGGUUUUGUUCAUUUGUAAACAUGUCUCACUUGCCUUCUUAUCUCCUAAGACAUUUGAAUCUUCUUUCUCUCUUGUA